rnacentral:lncRNA from 1 species
AGCCUUCGUGUUCCAGUUGGCAGAGAUGAGUUUCAGAACAUUCCAGCUCUGCCUUCAGCUGUUCAACCAAGAGUGGCCAGAUCAUCAGGGCCAGACUUCUUCCAGGAAACCCCUUUUUAUCUGGGCCAAGAAAAAGUGAACAAUAAAUAGUCACAGAAUGGUAUAUGUGUGGUAGGCGCUCAGGACAACCACUGAGGAGUAAGUAAGUAGGACAUGGCCAAGUAUACAGGAAAGCACCCGUGGGAGAAGUUAUGUGAGCAGCCUGGGCAGUGACUACACAGACAACUUUGACAAAUCAUUCCUCCAGAGGAAGUAUAUAGCCAAAAUUAAUAAAGAUCACUUUCC